CAGAUAACCAACCAGGAAAUAACUAUGUGUUCUGUGCAUGGCUAAAACCUUUAUCGCAUGACCAAAAAGUAAAAGUAAGGGGAUUUUAAUUGUGUUAGACAUUCAAUACCGUCAUUCUCUGAAACUGCUAAGACGCUUAUAGAAUAAAAUCAAUAUAUAUGUAAUACUAUUGGCUAGCUGAUUAAAAGGUAACAUGGUGAAUGUUAACGAAAUGUACAUUUCUUUUCCAGAAGAAGGGGUUUCAUUUUCUCUGGUCAAAAUGUCAUUGGAGACUGCGGUACUGAGGAAAGCAGUUAGAGAUAUUCGGCCACUUUAAAAAUAGAAAUAUCUGGAUAAAGCUAAAAAUGGAGUUCCGGAUAAGUGAGGCCAGUUCCUGUGUGUUAUUGGCCUAUGAUUCACUAGUAACCAACACACCUUAUACCGGGAAUGAAUAUGCGAUAGUGGAUUUAUUUUGGAAGGUUUUUUUUUUUUUUUUUUUUCAAUUCAGUUUCAAAUUGGGUAUGCAGAAGGAUGGAAAUGUUUUUGAAAAUGUAUUUAAGUUGUUUCUAAAGAAAAGGGAGUGGAAACAUUUUAAUGGUGUCAAAUGCCCUGAACCCUAAGAAUUUCCCGUGAAGACUGAUCAACUUCACUAGAAAUUGUUGGAACAGGUGGGAUUUAAUUAUAAAAUGAUUGAGAAACACCAGUCUCUAUUCAAAGUGUACAAUCACUUUGAAAUUCUAUUAUUUCCUUGGGAAAAUGAUGAAGAGUUGUAAUCUUAAAUUGACUAGUUAUUCAAAUAGGUGUAUUUUUUAUUUAACAUGGAUUCAUAGGAUAAAUUAUCAGUACCCUGGGGUUAUGGUCUUUGGGUAAAUACAAAUGUGCUUUGUUCAUUCUGCAUAUAAAAGGGAAAUAUAUGUUAACAAGGGAUAACAUUUACUCCAAAUGGUUUAUUGGAGUGGGGGUCUCUGCGAGGGUUAUGUUGAUAACUACAUAAUCUGUAACUAGUCUGAGAGAUCGCCAGUAGAAUAAGGGAGUUAUCAUGGAAGGUGACGUCAGAAU
ensembl:lncRNA